rnacentral:lncRNA from 1 species
UACCUGCAAAAUACUUUGACGUCCAAAUACGUGAAUGAAUAAGGCAAGGGACAAUAUUUCUAGGUUUUUGAGAGUGAGUACCAUGAUGUUUCGUCUCAUAUGGGGUCUAAUUAAGGUUUCUAAAGGCUCUCAUCCACCAUCUCCAAUCACAUAUGUCUAGGCCAAAAAAUCCAGAUAUAUAAUUCAUUAUGUUAUCUGACGACUCUUCUUUGAUCUCUUUCCUGAAUCAGGUGAUUUCUAUGGCAGGUAUACGUUUGCCCCACAAGUUCUUGAAUCUUCUGUCUCGCAAACAAUAUUAUUAUUUUACCUUCUAACAUCGUUAUCUUAUCACAAAUAUAUUUACCUUAUGGUCUUAACAACAAAGUCAAACUUCUUUCAUUGGAUCAAAUUUGGAGCAAAAUCUGAUAAAGAUCACUUGUAUUUUAACCUAUAACUAAUUGUGACAAUGGUCCAACUUUAUUCUUACCUCGAGUAAGUAGGGAUAGUUGCUCCCUAAGUCUAAUUUAGUGGAACCCGGUAUUCGUUUGUGAUGCUCUUGAAGUUAUGGUUUAAAAUGGCUUUAGUGAAACUUUAUCCAACUCCAACUUGUCUUUUCCCUCUCGUCUCUUGAUAUUCUAGGUAUUGAAUGGUGUGACUCUUUGAAAUGUCUUUCUUCAAUUGUCU